AAAUUAUUUACCUCAAUUUUAAAUAUUUUAAUAUUAUAAAAUGAAGUUUUGGAUACAUGAAGCAUUUUACGUUUUUUCAAUAUUUAUUAUUGUUAUCAAUGUCACAAAUGCUGUCAUUAGAAUGGGAGUUACAACUUAUGGACAUAUUAUGACUACGUUAAACCUCAUGGUGUAAUAGUGAAAAAUUUAAAUGAAACAAAAACUGAAAUUUUAUAUAUACAGAAGAAUUUAACGCCGACACAAAUCCCCUGAAACUUUAUUUAAAUUACUUUUUUGAAAAUACUGGAGGGAGAGAUAUCGUUAAAAUCGAUAAUUUAUGUGCUGACUAUAAGCAUGGCACUAACGAACAUGCGGCCAAGUUAUAUGUAUUAACAUCUUUUGCCAACACUGAUAAAUGUCCGAUAAAAAAAGGAACGAAAGUAAUAUUCACGAUAGGAAAACCUUACAAAUAUUCUAUCAAUAAUCGAGGUUGUGGAAUUACUUAUGGAUCAAUAGGUCUUUUUAAAAAGAACUCAAAACAAGACACAUCGUCAUUAGUUUUUUUAUUUCACUAUCGAGCGAACGU